rnacentral:rRNA from 1 species
AUACGGAGGGUCCGAGCGUUAAUCGGAAUUACUGGGCGUAAAGCGUACGUAGGUGGCUUGAUAAGUCGGAUGUGAAAGCCCUGGGCUCAACCUGGGAACUGCAUUCGAUACUGUCAGGCUAGAGUAUAGUAGAGGGAAGUGGAAUUCCGGGUGUAGCGGUGAAAUGCGUAGAUAUCCGGAGGAACACCAGUGGCGAAGGCGGCUUCCUGGACUAAUACUGACACUGAGGUACGAAAGCGUGGGGAGCAAACAGGAUUAGAAACCCGCUGUAGUCC